rnacentral:rRNA from 1 species
AUUGAACGCUGGCGGCAUGCCUUACACAUGCAAGUCGAACGGCAGCACGGGGCAACCUGGUGGCGAGUGGCGAACGGGUGAGUAAUGCAUCGGAACGUACCUUUCAGUGGGGGAUAACGUAGCGAAAGUUACGCUAAUACCGCAUAUUCCGUGAGCAGGAAAGCAGGGGAUCGCAAGACCUUGCGCUGAUUGAGCGGCCGAUGUCAGAUUAGCUAGUUGGUGAGGCAAAGGCUCACCAAGGCGACGAUCUGUAGCGGGUCUGAGAGGAUGAUCCGCCACACUGGAACUGAGACACGGUCCAGACUCCUACGGGAGGCAGCAGUGGGGAAUUUUGGACAAUGGGGGCAACCCUGAUCCAGCCAUGCCGCGUGAGUGAAGAAGGCCUUCGGGUUGUAAAGCUCUUUCGGCCGGGAAGAAAUCGCACGGGCUAAUACCCUGUGUGGAUGACGGUACCGGAAUAAGAAGCACCGGCUAACUACGUGCCAGCAGCCGCAGUAAGAC